ACUUCCGGCCCGCCUGCUUGGUGGGGAAAAGGUCCCGGCUGAGAAUUGAUUUCCGCAUUGGGUCGGCCUGGUAUUCUGUCGGUGUUGGCGCUUCUUCUCCCAAGCUCUUGCAGCCCCCUCGGGACUAGGUUUCCAACGGCGCUUGCGGGGGGCCUCGCGGAGGUGGAUGUGGAAAAGGCGAGCGCGGGGGAACUGUGCUGUAACCAUCGCCCCGCCUCCACAGAAAGCCCCGAAGCGCCGGCUCGGGGCCGAACGCGGGCAUCCGGCGUUCGUCUGUUAGGCAGGCAGACAUUAAGCGCCUACUGUGUGCUGGGCCCUACUCAAGACCCAGGCGGGGAGAACGGCGUCUGUCCGGUAGGCGCCCAGGGCUGCUGCAAAGCCCCGGAGCGAGGAGUGUGGCCCCUCAAACAGGGAGGAGAUGAGGUCCGAGGCCGACCGAGGUCAGAGACCCGCACCCACGAAAAGGGUCCACCCGUCGGGCUGGCUGCUUCCCAGUGCCGUGGAGAGCCCCUGAAGGUUUCUUUUUUUGAGAAGGAAUCUCGCUGUGUCGCCCAGGCUAGAAUGCAGUGGCGCUUUCUCGGCUCACUGCAACCUCCGCCUCGGGUUCAAGCUAUUCUCGUGCCUCAGCCUCCCGAAUAGCUGGGAUUACAGGCGCCUGCCACCAUGCCCGGUUAAUUUUUGUAUUUUUAGUAGAGACGAGGUUUCACCAUGUUGGCCAGGCUGGUCUUGAACUCUUGACCUCAAAUGAUCCGCCUGCUUCGGCCUCCCCAAGUCCUGGGAUUACAGGCGUGAGCCACCGCGCCUGGCCCCUUGAAGGGUUUUAUGCGGAGCAGUGAUCCCAUUCAUGCAUUUGAAAGACCUCUCUGGCUGUUGUGUGGAGAACAGAUCAAAGGGGGAGAAAGGAGCUGCACACGAGGACCCGGUGGUCCCUGACCUGCCCUCUCCAGGGGGGACCUGCACUUUCUGCCACCAAAGAGGAUUCUCUGUAGGGAGGCCAGGAUGAUUCUCCAGAAUUUACCAUGCCUUGAGAUGAAAUUUCCUUUCAAACUUCCUUGUGUCCUUUUGUCCUCAUUCCAUGUUCACCAGUCUUCUGACUGUUUCAUUUUCCAGAAAGGAGAAACUGAAUAACAUGUAUAUUUUAACCUUGCCUGCAAUUGUAAAUCAAUAAAUUGGUGUAUUUACAUCAGAUCCCUGUGAGUUUGGUGCACAUAAGACAGUCAUGAAGACUUGGUCACUGUUGGUAGAGUUGGCCAAUAAAAUAUUGAACACAGUUAAAUUUGAAUUCAUGCAAUAUUUGGGGCAUAUUUAUACUAAAUAUGUGUUAUCUGAGAUUCAUAUUUAGCUAGGUGAUUUUUUAAUUUGCUAAAUAUGGCACUCCCACCUCCGGGUAUUGAGAUUGAGUUUCUGAAUUUGGAAAGCUGAUUCCAAACCACCUGGAACCUUAGUGAGCCCACCAUGCAAUCCAGUGACCCUCUAGUUUGUCUGCUGUAUUUUUCCUCCUUACUGAAGCAAGAGUGAUCUUUCCAGAAUGAGAUCGCAGUCUGUCCCUGCCUCCAGUGACUCCCCAGCAUCCCUGGCCCACCACCUGGCUAACUACUCCUCUCCUUUAGGUUGUUGCCUUAGACUUCAAUUUGCCUGGUAAAUCCUCCCUGACCCCAAAACACUAGUUUGGUGCCAUCCUCGCUGCCCGGGGCCCCAAACCCACUGCAUCAUGGAGCCGGAAGCACUAUUAUUUUUUUUCUUUUUUACUUCUCCACUUGAGUGGCAACUUUCUGAAGACAGGGACCAUGUCUGUCUUAUUCACCACUGUCUUCCCACUGUCACCACUGCUUUGCAUGGGGCUGAGCACCGAGCAGGUGCUCAGGAAGUAUUUAUUGAACAACUGAAUGAGGC
rnacentral:lncRNA from 10 species